AUUUGGUUAGGAUUUGAUUUAGAGUUAGGGUUUGAUUAAGAUUUGAUUUAGGGUUAGGAUUUGCUUAGGAUCUCAUUUUAGAUUAGGAUUUGGUUUAGGAUUUAGGAUUUGGUUAGGAUUUGAUUUAGGAUUUAGGAUUUGAUUUAGAGUUGGUUAUUAUUUGAUUUAGGGUUUAAGGUUUUAUUUGAGUUUAUUUAGGGUUUAAGAUUUAGUUAGUUUUUGGCCUAAAGUUUGAAUGAAGUCCAAUAGAAUUUUAACUAGGAUUAAAUUAAGAUUGAAUUGAGAUGUAUUUGAGAUAUAUUUGUGAUCAUUCUAAUAUUACUUUGAGAUUUCUUAUUGUUUCUUUGUAAUUCCUUUGAUGUUUCUUUAAAUUUGAUUAAAGCUUGCUUAACAUUGGUAUGGUCUAAUUAGACUUUAGUUAGUAUUCUAUUAGAGUUAGGAUUUUGUUGUUGCAAUUUCUAUUCUACCAUCCAUAGCCAGAUGCCUGUAGCAUUUUUAAGCAAGACUUCAUGUAUUACGACAAUGUAAUAUGACCAACUUGAACUAGA
rnacentral:lncRNA from 1 species